GCUCCGUUGGUGAACCAGCGGAGGGAUCAUUACAGAGUUCCACAACUACCAACCCCUGCGAACCGUACCCCAGUUUGUUCGCGUUGCCUCCCGGCGGCGGGCUCCCGGCGCCGCCGCCGGCGCCCCCGCCACCGGCGCCGCGCCCCCUGGACCUCUUCCUCUCAACCAGCCCUUCUAAGCAAACAAACAAAUGAAUCAAAACUUUCAACCACUGAACACUUGGUCCUGGCAUCCAUGAAGAACUCAGCAGAUCCGAUGAGCAAACGUCUGAACUCCAGA
rnacentral:misc_RNA from 1 species